UUAAAAAAGAACAUCAUACCGUAGACAGUAGGUGCGCAGUGCGCUUAAUUUCCUGCCGAGGUAAGCCUAUAGAUUCAGUGAAUAUAACUGACAUCAAUAUGCCCUCAUGUCUACAUGGGGGCUUUUUAUAUCGCUUC
rfam:Bacillus sp. LL01 scaffold35.1, whole genome shotgun sequence.